GAGAAAACAAAGACUUUGUUGAUAGAGAAUUCAUAAAAACUGCUAAGAUGUUGCUGUCCAUUAACAGAGUUGGUCUCUGAAAGCUGAGGAGCUAGCAGAAGACAUGUUCAGACAACUCCAGUCUGAGG